rnacentral:rRNA from 1 species
AUUGAACGCUGGCGGCAGGCCUAACACAUGCAAGUCGAACGAGUGGCGGACGGGUGAGUAAUGUCUGGGAAACUGCCCGAUGGAGGGGGAUAACUACUGGAAACGGUAGCUAAUACCGCAUACCAUCGGAUGUGCCCAGAGGGGUUUAGCUAGUAGGUGGGGUAACGGCUCACCUAGGCGACGAUCCCUAGCGGGUCUGAGAGGGUGACCAGCGACAUUGGAACGCAGACAAGGUCCAGCCUCCUACGUGAGGCAGCAGUGGGAAAUAUUGCGCAAUGGGCGCGAGCCUGAUGCAGCCAUGCGGCGUGUAUGAAGGGGGCCUUUGGGUUGUAAAGUACUUUCAGCGAGGAGGCGUUACUCGCAGAAGAAGCACCGGCUAACUCCGUGCCAGCAGCCGCGGUAAUUC